CCACUUGCGAAGACACCAAGACUUUUGCAUCGUUUGGUACCACUGCAUUCUCGGGCCCAUCCAGUGCUAAAAAACAAUUGAUUAUAUUGAAGCUUAUACGCCGGUUCUCGAUUUUGCUGGUCUUCAGGUACCCUAUGCUGUAAUUACAUAUGCAUUAUGAAGCCACUUCUAACAAAAGGGGAAAAGAAGUUCACAACUCACUGGAACUAUUACAUUUUACAAAUUCUUUAGUUAAAUUCUUUAUUAUCUUGAGACAUUAAAUAUGAAAUUGUGAUCAAUCAAUUUUCGUCGUAAGAAAAUGAUUUAAAUAAUUGGCGCAAAUUUAACAAUAAAUAAAUGAAAAUGGAUUGUU